rnacentral:rRNA from 1 species
GGGGAAACUCACCCGGCCCGGACACCGUAGGAUUGACAGAUUGAGAGCUCUUUCUUGAUUCGGUGGGUGGUGGUGCAUGGCCGUUCUUAGUUGGUGGAGCGAUUUGUCUGGUUAAUUCCGAUAACGAACGAGACUCUGGCCUAUUAACCGGUGAAUCGGGCACUUCUUAGAGGGACUAGCGGCGAGAGCCGCGCGAGAGAGCAAUAACAGGUCUGUGAUGCCCUUAGAUGUUCGGGGCCGCACGCGCGCUACACUGAAAGAGACAGAGGGUCGAGUCCUGGUCGGGCAGGCCGGGCAACCCGUGGACAACCUCUAUCGUGCUAGGGACUGGGGCUUGCAAUUCUUGCCCAUGAACGAGGAAUUCCCAGUAAGCGCGAGUCAUCAGCUCGUGUUGAUUACGUCCCUGCCCUUUGUACACACCGCCCGUCGCUACUACCGAUGAUUGGUUUAGUGAGGCCCUCGGACGGGACCCGGGCCGG